rnacentral:rRNA from 1 species
AGAGUUUGAUCCUGGCUCAGGACGAACGCUGGCGGCGUGCCUAAUACAUGCAAGUAGGACGCACAGUUUAUACCGUAGCUUGCUACACCAUAGACUGUGAGUUGCGAACGGGUGAGUAACGCGUAGGUAACCUGCCUAUUAGAGGGGGAUAACUAUUGGAAACGAUAGCUAAUACCGCAUAACAGUAUGUAACACAUGUUAGAUGCUUGAAAGAUGCAAUUGCAUCGCUAGCAGAUGGACCUGCGUUGUAUUAGCUAGUAGGUAGGGUAAAGGCCUACCUAGGCAACGAUACAUAGCCGACCUGAGAGGGUGAUCGGCCACACUGGGACUGAGACACGGCCCAGACUCCUACGGGAGGCAGCAGUAGGGAAUCUUCGGCAAUGGGGGGAACCCUGACCGAGCAACGCCGCGUGAGUGAAGAAGGUUUUCGGAUCGUAAAGCUCUGUUGUUAAGGAAGAACGAGUGUGAGAAUGGAAAGUUCAUACUGUGACGGUACUUAACCAGAAAGGGACGGCUAACUACGUGCCAGCAGCCGCGGUAAUACGUAGGUCCCGAGCGUUGUCCGGAUUUAUUGGGCGUAAAGCGAGCGCAGGCGGUUAGAAAAGUCUGAAGUGAAAGGCAGUGGCUCAACCAUUGUAGGCUUUGGAAACUGUUUAACUUGAGUGCAGAAGGGGAGAGUGGAAUUCCAUGUGUAGCGGUGAAAUGCGUAGAUAUAUGGAGGAACACCGGUGGCGAAAGCGGCUCUCUGGUCUGUAACUGACGCUGAGGCUCGAAAGCGUGGGGAGCGAACAGGAUUAGAUACCCUGGUAGUCCACGCCGUAAACGAUGAGUGCUAGGUGUUAGGUCCUUUCCGGGACUUAGUGCCGCAGCUAACGCAUUAAGCACUCCGCCUGGGGAGUACGACCGCAAGGUUGAAACUCAAAGGGAUUGACGGGGGCCCGGCACAGCGGUGGAGCAUGUGGUUUAAUUCGAAGCAACGCGAAGAA